GGCCUGUUAAGUCAGAUGUGAAAGCCCCGGGGCUUAAACCCUCGGAAUUGCAUUUGAAACUGGCAGGCUAGAGUCUUGUAGAGGGGGUAGAAUUUCAGGUGUAGCGGUGAAAUGCGUAGAGAUCUGAAGGAAUACCAGUGGCGAAGGCGGCCCCCUGGACAAAGACUGACGCUCAGAUGCGAAAGCGUGGGGAGCCAAACAGGAUUAGAUUCCCCUGGGAG
rnacentral:rRNA from 1 species